ACCUCGGUGGUGUAGUGAUAGCUCGUAUUCUCAUUAUGGAUGAAACGCGGGUUCGACUCCCGUCUAAGGUC